rnacentral:rRNA from 1 species
AGAGUUUGAUCCUGGCUCAGGACGAACGCUGGCGGCGUGCCUAACACAUGCAAGUUGUACGAGAAGUUCACCUUCGAUUCCUUCGGGAUGAAAAGGUGAGCGGAGAGUAGCGAACGGGUGAGUAACGCGUGGGUAAUCUACCCUGUAAGUGGGGAAUAACCCUUCGAAAGGAGGGCUAAUACCGCAUAAUAUCUCCUCUUCACAAGAUAAGGAGAUUAAAGAUGGCCUCUUCUAUGCUAUCGCUUCAGGAUGAGCCCGCGUCCCAUUAGUUUGUUGGUAAGGUAACGGCUUACCAAGACUACAAUGGGUAGCCGGUCUGAGAGGAUGUACGGCCACACUGGGACUGAGAUACGGCCCAGACUCCUACGGGAGGCAGCAGUGGGGAAUAUUGUGCAAUGGGGGAAACCCUGACGCAGCGACGCCGCGUGGAUGAUGAAGGCCUUCGGGUUGUAAAAUCCUGUUUUGGGGGACGAAACCUUAAGGGUCCAAUAAACCCUUAAAUUGACGGUACCCCAAGAGAAAGCUCCGGCUAAUUAUGUGCCAGCAGCCGCGGUAAUACAUAAGGAGCAAGCGUUGUCCGGAAUUAUUGGGCGUAAAGGGCUCGUAGGCGGUCUUAAAAGUCAGAUGUUAAAUUACCAGGCUCAACCUGGUACUCCCAUCUGAAACUUUAAGACUUGAGGUUAGAAGAGGAAAGUAGAAUUCCCGGUGUAGC